rnacentral:misc_RNA from 1 species
AAAAGAAUCACAUUCCCUUUUUUUUUUUUGUUGAAAGAGAAACUAGAGUUAGACUAAAGCAUAACCUCUAACCAUCUCGGCUCUUAUAUAUCCAGGCUCCAUCACCAAAGACUUCUUCAAUCAUAGUGGGUGUUGGAACCAAACCAACUUCAUUUCUGGCACAGUUCAAGUACCCACCAUCCCACUCUUUGCCAUUACACGACUCCAACAGACUAUCAUG